GCCCUAUUGAUCUGAACUGAAACUCCCAUUUUCCAAAGCCAGUCCCAUGCCUAUUCAAGGACCCGAUACAACUUGACUUGGAGGAGGACAGCGCCAGUUGCUGCGUCUGGAUUCGCACUCGCCUCUUCAGUUAGCAUUUCAAAGGAGCGUGUGCUCAUUUGACUGAUGCUCUCUAUCUCUGGAGCUGCUCCUGUGAAAAGUGGCUGUGCUUCUAAGGAACUCAAAAUCUUCCUUUGGGUGCCAAAACCUUCUUUGAUGCAGCUAUAAAACAAACAAGGCACCUUGGGCUCUCUCCGCCUCUUACCCAUUCAACAAACAGCCUGAGUCAAUGUUGGCGCUUUUGCCACCUUCAGAUGCAUAAGAUGGCUGUAGCUUCCUCUUCGGAUAGAAAGGGCACCGUCAACGCCCUGAAAACAAGCCAGGAAGAUGACGAUUCUUUUCUUUUUUCCAGGCAGGUGUGGUCUAAUCAAAACAUGUAACUGUUUAAUUCCUCUCAUUCAGUUGAAGAAGGCAAAUGGCAGGCCUGGCACACUGCUCCUCCUCUGCUCCGACAAGCCCAGUGAAUUCCCCCUGUGCUUCCAGUCGCAGCCGAGGAAAAAGUAAACAGAAAAGAGAAAGAACAACAACCCUGUAGCUGACACAAGAAGGGCUUGGUUUCCCCAGGUGCCCCUGAGGAUUCUCGCAUCACCUCUGCUGUUGACAGAUGGCUUUUGCUUUUCGCUUUUGAAUUUUGUGUCAAUGACUUUCCAGUGACUGGAAUACAUUAUGUUCUCGGGUCCCGCCCUGGCUCUCGAGAUGCUUUUAAUUUGUAGGUUUAAGCUUAAAUUCCUCGACGGGUGCCAACUUUUCUGUUUGUUUUCCUCGGGAGCGCUUUGCACUAUGGGUUUCGGUAACUGUUAACCGUUGGGGGGCAUUAAUUGCAGCUCCCGAGGUCAUCUUUCAGAGCUGACUUAUAUUUCUGUCGACACCAGAGUUGCUCCUCGACGACCUGCCUUUCUGCUGUGGCGCAGCUUUUUUUGACUCCUGUAAUUACCCUCUGAAUUUAAGCUGAUUAUGUCGACUUUG